UACGUAGGGGGCAAGCGUUGGUUCGGAUUCAUUGGGCGUAAAGGGUGCGUAGGUGGCGGGGUAAGUCGAGGUGUGAAAUCUCGGGGCUCAACCCCGAAACUGCACUUGAUACUGCCUUGCUCGAGUACUGGAGAGGAGAUUGGAAUUUACGGUGUAGCAGUGAAAUGCGUAGAUAUCGUAAGGAAGACCAGUGGCGAAGGCGAAUCUCUGGACAGUUACUGACACUGAGGCACGAAGGCCAGGGGAGGCAAACAGGG
rnacentral:rRNA from 1 species